rnacentral:rRNA from 1 species
GAUGAACGCUAGCGGCAGGCCUAAUACAUGCAAGUCAAGGGGCCCAGCAAUGGGUACCGGCGGACGGGUGCGUAACGCGUACACAACAUACCUUUAAGUGGGGGAUAGCAUUGGGAAACUGGUGGUAAUACCCCAUAAUAAUAUUGGGAGGCAUUUCCUGAUAUUUAAAGCUUCGGCGCUUAGAGAUUGGUGUGCGUCCGAUUAGUUAGUUGGAGGGGUAACGGCUCACCAAGGCGACGAUCGGUAGGGGGUGUGAGAGCAUGACCCCCCACACGGGUACUGAGACACGGACCCGACUCCUACGGGAGGCAGCAGUAAGGAAUAUUGGACAAUGGAGGGAACUCUGAUCCAGCCAUGCCGCGUGAAGGAUGAAGGCGCUCAGCGUUGUAAACUUCUUUUGGAUGGGAACAAUAACUUCUACGUGUAGGAGCUUGAGGGUACCAUCAGAAUAAGCACCGGCUAACUCCGUGCCAGCCGCCGCUGUAAUAC